AAAUGCGAAAUAGUAGUGCCCCUUUGGAUACAAGUCAACACUUACAGUAAAUAAUUACACGAAGAUUACAUUCCCGAAUUAAUUAUAUGAUCACCAAAGAAUUGUGAUUUUAGAAUUGGAAAACGAGGGAACAACAAAACUGUGGCAGUGUUUCUUUACAAUGUGCAGAGUCUGGAUCCACACUACAAAAUAAUUUACUUAUGUCUUCUGAAAUUAUGUCUCGCAAUCUCAUGUCAUGAGAAACAAAUCAAAUUAAAUAUUGAAUAUCCUGUGUACUUGCCAGCAUAUACAUGACAUAUUUUGCUUCACCAUAGCAAAUAUUCAAAAUUGCCUCCAACCUCUUCCGUCUUAUGCCACAGAUUCACAUGGCUUAAUAUAAAUUUGGCUCAUAUGGAAUUAUUAAGGCACACAUAUGACAUACAACCACGUCCAUAUUCAAAUUCGCUAUAAUAAGGGGGGAAAAUCAGCGAAAAACGAAAGAAAAUCGCUUUGCGGAAGAAGCAGCAGCGACCUGCUUGGCUGCCGGCCGAGCGGAGGCCCAGACGCCCGCGACGCCACGUGGGAGGUGCGCGUGCUUCCUCCGGUGCCAGGAUGAGUUGCAACAAGGGCUAUAACCUACGCUCAUGGCACAUACAAGAUUAUUCGUCACUGAUGGAAAGCGGCUUUGGAUAAGUUGACCAAUUUCCUAGAAUUGGUGCACAAGAGGACCAAUGCAAUGGAGUCUUUUGAAGUGGUUCAAGGUCUGCUAGACUCAGAUUGGAAUGGGUUUCCAUGGAGAGAACUCUAACAGCCUCUUGAAUUCCAUCUGAAAUGGUAUCCUGACCCUUGCAAGCAAACAAGUGCAUGAUGUAAAACAUUAUGCUGCAACAGGAAAAAGAAUACACCGAUGGACACCUGCCAUGAACACUGAGAAUGUGUAGUAGCACAGAUCCCAAGACGACUGCCACACGAGAUGAAAAUUUCUACGAUGUAUGGUUAUUGAAGCAAAUAAUUUCCUAGAGGAAUUUUGCAUUGUGGCAGUUCACAAGCAGAAGUGAAGUGCAAGUGCCAGAAUAAGAGGGAUUAUCUUGUGGAAGAUCUUGUACAUGUAAUGUAAAUUAAUUUAAAUGUAUUUUCUUAAUAAAAUAUAUUCAGAA